rnacentral:rRNA from 1 species
GUCUUUUUGUAAAGUUGAAAGGUUUAACCUGCCCAAUGAGAUUUUAAUGGCCGCGGUAUUACUGACCGUGCAAAGGUAGCAUAAUCAUUAGUUCUUUAAAUGGGGGCUGGAAUGAAUGGUUGAACGAGGGAAAGGCUGUCUUUUAAUAAUGAUGUUGGAGUUUACUUUUUAGUGAGAAGGCUAAAAUUUUGCUGAGGGACGAUAAGACCCUAUARAUCUUUAUGUUUUAACUUAUGUAGAGUUAGAUGUGAGGAAAGAGCAUUCAGUUGGGGCGACUGAGAGAGAUAAAUAUCUCUUUUUUGAAGAUUUGCACUAAUAAGUGUGUGAGGAUCCAUGUGUAGUGAUUAUAAGAUAAAGUUACCUUAGGGAUAACAGCGUAAUCUAUCUUGAGAGUUCUAAUCGAGAGGUGGGUUUGCGACCUCGAUGUUGGAYUAAGAAGUUCUUUUUGGCGGAGAAGCUAAGAGGGAAGGUCUGUUCGACCUUUAAAUUCUUACA